GCGGAUAGAAACGGUGAGCUUAUGGUUCCACCUUCAGCUAUAAAUGCGACUUACAUUUCCUGCGUCCGCAGCUCGAGUUAAGGUUUGAGGCAGUACACCCUGUCCUAAGAGAGAUGACUCUUGAUGGUCUUGUUCACCUGGAUGCAAAGCAAGAAGCAAGUUACCCAACAUAUAUUUACUUUGUUGCUCAAAGUUGUAGGAAAGAGUGCUCCUGAAUUAUCUAAAGAAGCUGAUGGUGUUUGCUUAUGGUCAUUGAGUCAAAACACAGAUAUUUACAAAUAAUGGACAAGGUGUACUUAAAAAGCUGGCGAAUGAAUGAUUGCAGCACUCUACUAAAUAUUUUGAUCCUUUAAGGGAGUCUGUUAAGAUUUUAAGGCAGGAGAAAUACAUCAUCCCACGGCUUGCAAAUUGCUAUGCUAAUUCCUGGUUCUAUCAGAUAUCUAAGG